rnacentral:lncRNA from 1 species
GAUGCUGAAAUCACUGCACCUUAAAAACAAAAAGAUUAAGCUGCACUGCGUUCCUUAUGAGAAUAUAGGCAAUGAGUCCAAACCAACAAGGAGCCAGAGGGCAAAUUGCAC